GGGACAAAGCAACCUAAAACCAUGAUUCUAUACACAGCUGCAUACCUUCUCUUCUGAAAGUUGUAUCAGUUCAUCUCAAGCUCCAGAGCUUGAUUUAUUAGCAUCCUGGACACACCACCACCACAUCAGGAGUGUACCACAGAGGAAAAACCUCAUGUUAGUUACUUGAUCUAAUUUUGUUUCUAUUUAUUCAAGAUAAUGGUCUUUGGAUCUGUUCACAUCUGGCACAGAUGAGGCUUCUCUGAUGAUCACUGGAUAAAGGACUGAUCUGUGUUAAAGCACUUACCUUGAUGUACUUUUGCACACCAUUUGGGUGCUAUGGCUUCAGGGGCAAGAAGAGGAUAAAUGAGAUUCCUCCUGACUUCUGACAGGAGUUAGAGAUGAUUUCAAGCUGCCCCCUGGGUAAUGGAAGAGAACCCAAUAUUUUCAGUGACUAAGCCAUGCAUCUAGCAUUGAGAACUUGGACUUUUAAAGUGUUGAGGUUUUUGUUGUUGUUGUUGUUGUUGUUGUUGUUGUUGUUGUU